CCUGAUGAAGAAGGCCUUCGGGUGUAAGCUCUUUCAGUGAAAGAAGCGAUGGUAAUACCUGUCCGAUGACGUACACAGAGAGCACGCUAACUACGUGCCAGCAGCGCGUAAUACGUAGGGUGCGAGCGUAAUCGGAAUUACUGGGCGUAAAGCGUGCGCAGGCGGUUGUGUAAGACAGGUGUGAAAUCCCCGGGCUUAACCUGGGAACUGCGCUUGUGACUGCACAGCUAGAGUACGGCAGAGGGGGGUAGAAUUUCCACGUGUAGCAGUGAAAUGCGUAGAGAUGUGGAGGAAUACCGAUGGCGAAGGCAGCCCCCUGGGCCUGUACUGACGCUCAUGCACGAAAGCGUGGGGAGCAAACAGGAUUAGAUACCCUGGUAGUCCACGCCCUAAACGAUGUCAACUAGUUGUUCGGAAGGGAAACUUUCUGAGUAACGCAGCUAACGCGUGAAGUUGACCGCCUGGGGAGUACGGCCGCAAGGUUAAAACUCAAAGGAAUUGACGGGGACCCGCACAAGCGGUGGAUGAUGUGGAUUAAUUCGAUGCAACGCGAAAAACCUUACCUACCCUUGACAUGUCUGGAACUUGUGAGAGAUCACUUGGUGCCUUCGGGAGCCAGAACACAGGUGCUGCAUGGCUGUCGUCAGCUCGUGUCGUGAGAUGUUGGGUUAAGUCCCGCAACGAGCGCAACCCUUGUCGUUAAUUGCCAUCAUUAAGUUGGGCACUUUAGCGAGACUGCCGGUGACAAACCGGAGGAAGGUGGGGAUGACGUCAAGUCCUCAUGGCCCUUAUGGGUAGGGCUUCACACGUCAUACAAUGGUCGGUACAGAGGGUUGCCAAGCCGCGAGGUGGAGCUAAUCCCAGAAAGCCGAUCGUAGUCCGGAUUGUAGUCUGCAACUCGACUGCAUGAAGUCGGAAUCGCUAGUAAUCGCAGAUCAGCAUGCUGCGGUGAAUACGUUCCCGGGUCUUGUACACACCGCCCGUCACACCAUGGGAGUGGGUUUCACCAGAAGUAGGUAGCUUAACCUUCGGGAGGGCGCUUACCACGGUGAGAUUCAUGACUGGGGUGAAGUCGUAACAAGGUAACCGAAUCUCUGAAGAUCGCGCU
rnacentral:rRNA from 1 species